UUCUGGUGGCUGACAGCUUUAACUUACUAGACAGACUGGUCAAAACUCAGAGAAGAGGCGUAGCUGUUGACAGUAGUCAGUCUUGUCCUAUUUGUCAACAGCGAAUCAUAGUAACAGAUUUGAGAUAUGCCAGCAAUGUUGUUUUAUUCCACUGUAAACAUGCAUUCCACGAAGAUUGUCUACCCACAAACUCAAUGGAGCGUUGUACAAUCUGUAGUACACAAAGGAGGGGACCUGGAUCGAAGGGCGUGGUCAAGUAAUGUCAAUCAAGUAGUGCUCCAAUCAAUUGCUGGCUAAAGAUGGAUAAUCAAUGAAAUGAUUAAAACGUUUUUAAGCAUUCUGUUAAACAUAAUCAUAGUUAUUGGGCUUGUAUUUUUUGAAAUAUUUGUAUUACACCCCAAGAUAUAAAUAUAAAAUUUAUCAAAUGGGAAUUGCCAUUUGUUUAUUGCCAAAAGCUACAGUACUUAUUUUUAACAUUAAUUGUUGAAAAAAAGCUGUCCUUUCUCUAAAGAUUAUGUUACAUUGUUUUAUGCUGUUUCUUAGCCAUGAUUGAAAGUACUUCAGUGCAUUGUGUACUGAAAAUGAUUUCGCAUUUGGUUAUAAAUAUAAAUAUGUUGGCAUGAAUAAAUCUCUUAUUAGUGUUACUCUGUUAUAUUUAUUUUAUUAAAAAAUACUUCAUUGGAAAUGAAAUGAAUUUUUAAGCAAAUUUACUGUAAUAUUUAUAUUCCCUUUCUUUAGUAUGGACAAAUAAGAUUUUUCUUUAUGUUUAUGUCUUUCAUUUCUAUAGGAUAUUUUAUAGUAAAUUUGUUCCGUUUUGGAGAAAAUAAAGACUUCAUGUUCCUGUCUUGUUCAUGUUUCAUUCCAGGAGAUGAUUUCUGCUGCAUUUUUAGAG